CUACGGGAUGCUCCAGUGGGGAAUUUUGCGCAAUGGGGGAAACCCUGACGCAGCAACGCCGCGUGAGUGAUGAAGGCUUUUGGGUCGUAAAGCUCUGUCAAGUGGAAAGAAAUAAUGAUAUGUUAAUAACAUAUUAUUUUGACGGUACCACUAAAGGAAGCACCGGCUAACUCCGUGCCAGCAGCCGCGGUAAUACGGAGGGUGCAAGCGUUAUUCGGAAUUAUUGGUCGUAAAGGGCGCGUAGGCUGUUUUGUAAGUCAGAUGUGAAAGCCCGGGGCUUAACCUCGGAAGUGCAUUUGAAACUGUGAAACUUGAGUAUGGGAGAGGGAAGUGGAAUUUCUGGUGUAGAGGUGAAAUUCGUAGAUAUCAGAAGGAACACCGGUGGCGAAGGCGACUUCCUGGACCAAUACUGACGCUGAGGCGCGAAGGCGUGGGUAGCAAACAGGAUUAGAUACCCGUGUAGUC
rnacentral:rRNA from 1 species